AAACCUGGUCAGUAGUACACUCACCAAUCUCCUAUUCCGAUAACAGCCGGGGAUUCAGACGCAGGCUGUCGUUCCGCGCGAACCAGUUCAGCCAUGGAAAAGAUACUCUUGUUUUGCCUGAUAGUCGGCGCGAUUGCCUUUGUUUUGGGACAGGGUAAUCGUCGGUACUAUUACCCGAACGGACAGGUUGGGUAUGUAUCUGGCUACCCUCUAGGAGACUAUCUCAGAGCUAGGAAUGUCUACCUACGGGCCAGGCUUGCGGAUAGAAAGCAGGACAGUUUCUUGGGGGAUAUUGUAGGCCUGGGUGGAUAUUUCCUUUUAUAUGCUCUCUACAAGAAUUUGACAGGCCAGCUGAUUGGUUGAUGUACACAAGUAUUCGUUGGAAAUGGACAUCCAAUAUAUUUAUACAAGGGGCUAAAUGGCGGUUUGGUACAACUUGUGUGAUGAUUCUAUAUAUUAAAUGUCAUUUGUGUGUCUUUA